rnacentral:rRNA from 1 species
AGUGAACGCUGGCGGUAGGCCUAACACAUGCAAGUCGAGCGGCAGCACAGUAAGAGCUUGCUCUUACGGGUGGCGAGUGGCGGACGGGUGAGGAAUACAUCGGAAUCUACUUUUUCGUGGGGGAUAACGUAGGGAAACUUACGCUAAUACCGCAUACGACCUACGGGUGAAAGCAGGGGAUCUUCGGACCUUGCGCGAUUGCAUGAGCCGAUGUCGGAUUAGCUAGUUGGCGGGGUAAAGGCCCACCAAGGCGACGAUCCGUAGCUGGUCUGAGAGGAUGAUCAGCCACACUGGAACUGAGACACGGUCCAGACUCCUACGGGAGGCAGCAGUGGGGAAUAUUGGACAAUGGGCGCAAGCCUGAUCCAGCCAUACCGCGUGGGUGAAGAAGGCCUUCGGGUUGUAAAGCCCUUUUGUUGGGAAAGAAAAGCAGCAGGUUAAUACCCCGCUGUUCUGACGGUACCCAAAGAAUAAGCACCGGCUAACUUCGUG